rnacentral:rRNA from 1 species
UACGUAGGAUGCAAGCGUUGUCCGGAAUUAUUGGGCGUAAAGAGCGCGCAGGCGGUAUGACAAGUCAGAUGUGAAAGAGGCCGGCUUAACCGGCAAGGGUCAUUUGAAACUGUCAGACUAGAGUGCAGCAGAGGAUAGUGGAAUUCCCGGUGUAGUGGUGAAAUGCGUAGAUAUUGGGAGGAACACCAGUGGCGAAGGCGACUAUCUGGGCUGCAACUGACGCUGAGGCGCGAAGGCUAGGGUAGCAAACAGG